rnacentral:rRNA from 1 species
GAUGAACGCUGGCGGCGUGCCUAAUACAUGCAAGUCGAGCGAACAGAUGCUGAUCUUGUUCCUCUGACGUUAGCGGCGGAGGGGUGAGUAACACGUGGAUCACCUCCCUAUAUUACUGGUAUAACUUCGGGAAACCGGCGCUAAUACCGUAUAAUAUAUUGCGCCGCGUGGUUCAUUAGUGAAAUACGGUUUUGCUGUCAGUUAUAGAUGGAUCCGCGCCGUAUUAGCUAGUUGGUAAGGUAACGGCUUACCAAGGCAACGAUGCGUAGCCGACCUGAGAGAGGGGUAGGCGACACUGGAACGGGGACACGGUCCAGACGCCUGAGAGAGGCAGCAGUAGGGUAUCUGCCGCAAUGGGCGAGAACCUGACAGAGCAAGGGGAAGUGAGUGACAGAGACCUUCGGAUCGGAAAAACCUGUUAUGAGGGAAAAACAGAUGUGGAAGUAAAUAUACAGGUAGUGACGGAACCGGAUCAGGAAGCAACGGCUAACUACGUG